AUUGAACGCUGGCGGCAGGCCUAACACAUGCAAGUCGGGCGAGAGGCGGACGGGUGAGUAAUGUAUGGGGAUCUGCCUGAUGGCGGGGGAUCACUACUGGAAACGGUCGCUAAUACCGCAUACCAUCAGAUGAACCCAUAUGGGAUUAGCUAGUAGGUAAGGGAACGGCUUACCUAGGCGACGAUCCCUAGAUGGUCUGAGAGGAUGAUCAGCCACACUGGGACUGAGACACGGCCCAGACUCUGACGGGAUGCAGCAGUGGGGAAUAGUGCACAAUGGGCGCAAGCCUGAUGCAGCCAUGCCGCGUGUAUGAAGAAGGCCUUCGGGUUGUAAAGUACUUUCAGUCGGGAGGCGUUACCGACAGAAGAAGCACCGGCUAACUCCGUGCCAGCAGCCGCGGUAAUUC
rnacentral:rRNA from 1 species